CCGGCCACUGCACUGGCUUACUGCUGAGCGGUCAUGUGACAUCAGUCAGUGCGUGGUAUUGUAAAAGACUGAGUGAAAACGGAGAUGGGAGAGGAGGCUGAUCAGUGGACUGGAGCAGGGGCCUCGAACGCUGCAGAUGGAAUGUUUGGCAGACAUCCUGCAAUCCCUGGAAGUCAGGAAUGGAUUCAAGUUCUCUGUCAUAUAUCUACAAUUAGGAGGAGAACCAUACAAUGAGGAGAUUAGUAAUGCCUCUGUUUUAAUAAUGAUGUAUAUAAACAUCAACAAGAAA